rnacentral:rRNA from 1 species
UACGUAGGGUGCAAGCGUUGUCCGGAAUUAUUGGGCGUAAAGGGCUCGUAGGCGGUCCAUCGCGUCGGGAGUGAAAGCUGGGGCUUAACCCCAGUCCUGCUUUCGAUACGGGUGGACUAGAGGUAGGCAGGGGAGAACGGAAUUCCUGGUGUAGCGGUGAAAUGCGCAGAUAUCAGGAGGAACACCGGUGGCGAAGGCGGUUCUC